GUUUUAAUAGUUUAACUUAAAAACUUUGGUCUUGUAAACCGAAAAUGAAAUUCCUUUCUUAAAGCU
rnacentral:tRNA from 1 species